rnacentral:misc_RNA from 1 species
UUAAGUUCAGCGGGUAUCCCUACCUGAUUCGAGGUCAACCAUAGAAAAUUGGGGGUUGCUGGCCAGCAUCCACCGGGACUCACACGCGAGGGUAUAAUUACUACGCGUAGAGCUCGAUGGCGCCGCCACUGCUUUAAGGCCAGCCGUCGCCGGCAGGGCCCAAGACCAAGCUGUGCUUGAGGGUUGAAAUGACGCUCGAA